rnacentral:rRNA from 1 species
AGAGCGAACGCUGGCGGCAGGCCUAAUACAUGCAAGUCGAGCGGCCCUUCGGGGUAGCGGCGGACGGGUGAGUAACGCGUGGGAACGUGCCCUUUGGUACGGAACAACUGAGGGAAACUUCAGCUAAUACCGUAUGUGCCUUUCGGGGGAAAGAUUUAUCGCCAUUGGAGCGGCCCGCGUUAGAUUAGCUAGUUGGUGGGGUAAAGGCCUACCAAGGCAACGAUCUAUAGCUGGUCUGAGAGGAUGAUCAGCCACACUGGGACUGAGACACGGCCCAGACUCCUACGGGAGGCAGCAGUAGGGAAUCUUGCGCAAUGGGCGAAAGCCUGACGCAGCCAUGCCGCGUGAAUGAUGAAGUCUAGAUUGUAAAUUCUUCACGGACGAUAAGUGACGGUACCGAGAAGAAGCCCGGCUAACUCGUGCCAGCACGCCGC